rnacentral:snRNA from 1 species
AUCUUUGCGCUUGGGGCAAUGACGCAGCUAGUGAGGUUCUAACCGAGGCGCGUCUAUUGCUGGUUGAAAACUAUUUCCAAACCCCCUCUUGGGCCUGGGCUUGACCCUGGCCUUUGAGAAUUUCUGGAAGGGCUCCCCAAGGGGUAAAGCC